GCCACCGCGCCCGCGUGCCUGUAGUCCCAGCUACUAGGGAGGCUGAGGCUGGAGGACCGCUUGAGUCCAGGAGUUCUGGGCUGUAGUGCGCUAUGCCGAUCGGGUGUCCGCACAAAGUUCGGCAUCAAUAUGGUGACCUCCCGGGAGCGGGGGACCACCAGGUUGCCUAAGGAGGGGUGAACCGGCCCAGGUCGGAAACGGAGCAGGUCAAAACUCCCGUGCUGAUCAGCAUUUCUGUUUUCUAUCCAGGCCUUUGGAAUUAAGGAGAAUUUAA
ensembl:misc_RNA Metazoa_SRP Metazoan signal recognition particle RNA